rnacentral:rRNA from 1 species
GAAACGGUAGCUAAUACCGCAUAAGUCGCAAGACCAAAGUGGGGGACCUUCGGGCCUCAUGCCAUCAGAUGUGCCCAGAUGGGAUUAGCUAGUAGGUGGGGUAACGGCUCACCUAGGCGACGAUCCCUAGCUGGUCUGAGAGGAUGACCAGCCACACUGGAACUGAGACACGGUCCAGACUCCUACGGGAGGCAGCAGUGGGGAAUAUUGCACAAUGGGCGCAAGCCUGAUGCAGCCAUGCCGCGUGUGUGAAGAAGGCCUUCGGGUUGUAAAGCACUUUCAGCGGGGAGGAAGGCGUUAAGGUUAAUAACCUUGGCGAUUGACGUUACCCGCAGAAGAAGCACCGGCUAACUCCGUGCCAGCAGCCGCGGUAAUACGGAGGGUGCAAGCGUUAAUCGGAAUUACUGGGCGUAAAGCGCACGCAGGCGGUCUGUCAAGUCGGAUGUGAAAUCCCCGGGCUCAACCUGGGAACUGCAUUCGAAACUGGCAGGCUAGAGUCUUGUAGAGGGGGGUAGAAUUCCAGGUGUAGCGGUGAAAUGCGUAGAGAUCUGGAGGAAUACCGGUGGCGAAGGCGGCCCCCUGGACAAAGACUGACGCUCAGGUGCGAAAGCGUGGGGAGCAAACAGGAUUAGAUACCCUGGUAGUCCACGCCGUAAACGAUGUCGAUUUGGAGGUUGUGCCCUUGAGGCGUGGCUUCCGGAGCUAACGCGUUAAAUCGACCGCCUGGGGAGUACGGCCGCAAGGUUAAAACUCAAAUGAAUUGACGGGGGCCCGCACAAGCGGUGGAGCAUGUGGUUUAAUUCGAUGCAACGCGAAGAACCUUACCUGGUCUUGACAUCCACAGAACUUCAGAGAUGUUGGUGCCUUCGGGAACUGUGAGACAGGUGCUGCAUGGCUGUCGUCAGCUCGUGUUGUGAAAUGUUGGGUUAAGUCCCGCAACGAGCGCAACCCUUAUCCUUUGUUGCCAGCGGUCCGGCCGGGAACUCAAAGGAGACUGCCAGUGAUAAACUGGAGGAAGGUGGGGAUGACGUCAAGUCAUCAUGGCCCUUACGACCAGGGCUACACACGUGCUACAAUGGCAUAUACAAAGAGAAGCGACCUCGCGAGAGCAAGCGGACCUCAUAAAGUAUGUCGUAGUCCGGAUUGGAGUCUGCAACUCGACUCCAUGAAGUCGGAAUCGCUAGUAAUCGUAGAUCAGAAUGCUACGGUGAAUACGUUCCCGGGCCUUGUACACACCGCCCGUCACACCAUGGGAGUGGGUUGCAAAAGAAGUAGGUAGCUUAACCUUCGGGAGGGCGCUUACCACUUUGUGAUUCAUGACUGGGGUGAAGUCGUAACAAGGUAACCGUAGGGGAACCUGCGGUUGGAUCACCUCCUUACCUUAAAGAA